AAAUGUUUGAUUUAAAGUAUGUGGGUUUAACUUUUCUUUAAUUGCUUAAAUCCUCUAUGCCAUGCCACUGCAUAAUAUUGUUACUGUUUCUUGCUUUCCAGCAGCAACUUGAUGCCAUCCAAAUUGUGAUGAGACAAACUCCAGGAGAAUUUUAAGUAUCCAGAAUACUAUCCAAGCCUGAACUCACAACACCAAGAACUCCUAUUUAACUAAUUAAACACCUGCAAUGUGGCAUUUUUAAUUAUUACAAAUCGGUAGAAACCUUUAGCUGAAUGACAAGGUGUGCAACACAAUGCCUUCUCUUUAACUAACUGCAGUUUAUAUUGACAAGGUUUUAAUGAGUUGAUAAACUUGUCCUCCAGCGCUAUCCAACAAACAAUGCUGUAUAGUGCUGUCCAUGAAAUAUUAUAUCCAGGAAGAAAAAAAAGGCAUUAAAUGCAUUACAUACCUUUCUUCUACACGUAUUGCAGGCAAGUAAGACCGACUAGACAAGAUUCUGUUAGACAGAGAUAUCUACCAUAAUUAUUUUCUUCACUUCUAUAUCUUCUUGAAAUUAUAUAUGUAAAAAAAUAUCGAGGCAUUGGUUGUGCUAUCUAGGGCUUCAAUAAAUCGAAGAUGAUUUUCUAAUGGUUAGGAAGUAAAAGAAUGCAAGAAAGGUACAAGUCAAAAUCAAAGAUGAUGCUAGGCAUACAUAGGAUGGACAAGGAGAUCAGACCCUUUCUCAUUCAGCCUUACACUCUGUGAAAAGAUCUCCCAAAUGUUGUCACUGCAUAAUUUUUUUUUUCUCUUCAAAACACAUCAAGCCUAUCCCCCUUGCACCCAAUAUGUUCACAUCUCCAUUGCAGCUUAUGGCCAAAUGGGGAUAUUAGUAUACAAUUUCUCAAGACUUUGAAAGUGUGAACUGUUUAGCAAGACAUAAGCGGUGUGCCGAGUCUGAAGCAUCAGCUCUGAAAGUACACGCUACUUCAUGCAUCACCGCACAGCUGGUCUUAGUUGGAUCUGUUAUGGCCACGUUUCUACCUUAUCUGCGGGACCAGACACAGUGCUGCCUGUGAUUUUCAGAAAGCAGACUCUUCAUUUAUUUCAGCGUCUUACUGGAUGAAAGGAUUCAGAAGCUGCUUCCAGGAGGAUGAAUUGAAAACAACUUAUGUACUAGAGGAAGAAUGUAAACAUCAACAAAUUAGGCAAAAUAAUGCAAGGUCUACUGCUAACAAAAUAUUCCUGAGAUCAAGAUUGAGACUCACUAUUCAAUUAGAUUAGAUUUACCAUGGUCUGAUCAAUUAAAGCUGUAAUAGUGAAGAAAGAAAGUCAUUGUUGCAGUAAGAUGAAAAGACGCAAGGAAGGAAAUAAAAGAAAUUGCCCUUGGUUUCAGAAAAGUAAUAGAAGAAAAUAAAAGAAAUACAACUGUGUAAAUGUUACAGAUAGAAUUUUUUGGUCUUGGAGUUGCUAACCCCUAGCACUGACUGUUUGUGACACUUCAGUAGCCAUCUGAAGGGUGACAGAACUUUGUAAAAGAGAUGAAAAUAUGCCUAAGCAUGUAUACAAAAAUAGCUGAAAGAUCAAGAAAGUAGGGGAAUGCAAGUAGUUGCAUGGGUUGGAUGCUAGAUCUCUUGUUUCAAAAAGCAGAAAAAUUAAUGAUUAUCUAAUGAUUGUGCUUUUAAUUCAGUUAAUGUAAGAUAUGCUGUUAAAUUUCAGAAAGAAACUAGGCAAAUUUUGUAUGACUAUCAUAAUAGAAAACCGAUUAUGAAAAUUAUUAAUUUUGCCUCCUUUCUCUUGUUGCUGUAAUGGAGUAGAAGAAUAUUCAGGGCACCAAUACACCAAUCUCAUUCUGAAUUAGCCCGACUUAUCUAUAAAAUACUUUCUGGCAGCUAGUAAUAUACAACCAACAAAACCACAGAGCAUUGAAAAGAUGUUUUCAUUGUGAAUAGCAUGUUGAAUCAAUUUUUAGUUUGCAAAUUUCUUAUUUCAAAAUAUUGGGGUUUCAAUAUAUUUAUAAGAAAUUAAUCAUAAAAUAUUGAGAGAAAAGUUCUUAUUCAAUGGUUUGACCAGGGUCACUAAGUAGAUUCAAUAUCUGUUUUUUUAGCUGGCAUGAAGAUCUGACAACACAUUUCAGUCCCUGGAACAGAUGCUGGAAACCGCCACUUUUUGUAUAAACAUAUAUUUAACUAAUAUGCAUUUUCUCUGUAUGUACAUAUAGAAAUCAAACUAAUACCUUACUAUCUGGUCUCGGAAAUGCAAAGUGUUUCUAAACGGUCUUGGAAAGAACCUUUAAAGACAUUUUCAUGACAAAAUCCCAUCAUAGCAUGUUACAUUAUCUUGGUUGAGCUGAACCUAUAUUAUCACCCACUACUAACCCUUAUCUGCUGUACCACAAAACAUCAAUGAUGCACUGGUUUUGGUCAACAGAGACGGAAGAGCAGGUUUAAGGCUUAUUUUGCUCUCUUCAUAUAAUUGACUGUGAUCUGUUGGAGGAGUUAAUCCUCUAAGAAAAAGUUAAUAAUAACACAUAAAAGAGCAUUCAACAUUUCUAGAUGAAAAAUGUGUUUCUCCAAAGAAACUUCAAGUCAGUGAUGCAUGUUACAAGGUUAUUUAGGCCAAUAGGCCACUAUCAUUAAAUUUAUUUACAAAUAUCAUCGAGAAGAAAAUUCUAUUUACUGUUCUCAAUCUGAUAUCUUCAAUAAACAUUAAAGAAAUAGUGUUACUCGAGCUUCAGGUACAGGUGGCUACACGCUUGCUAUUGAAACCUCAGAAUAAUGGAAACUGAAAAAGACUAUUAUGUAUCAAUACUUGAAGUACAGCUGAAUUAUGCAAUAUGAAAUUGAACUAAAAUCAAGGAGGAAUGGUGAUGCACAAAAUAGUGCCAAUAAACUUCACUCUCAAUAUUAAAUCUUGCGAUUAUAUUCCAUAGUAAGGAGCUUUUAAUAAGUAAAAUUUCCUGUUAAGUAAUGAGUAAAUA